CCUACGGGAGGCAGCAGUGAGGAAUAUUGGUCAAUGGGCGCUAGCCUGAACCAGCCACGUAGCGUGAAGGAUGAAUGCCCUAUGGGUUGUAAACUUCUUUUAUAUGGAAAUAAAGUGCAGUAUGUAUACUGCUUUGCAUGUACCUUAUGAAUAAGGAUCGGCUAACUCCGUGCCAGCAGCCGCGGUAAUACGGAGGAUUCGAGCGUUAUCCGGAUUUAUUGGGUUUAAAGGGAGCGUAGGCGGGUUGUUAAGUCAGUUGUGAAAGUUUGUGGAUCAACCGUAAAAUUGCAGUUGAUACUGGCAGCCUUGAGUACAGUAGGGGCAAGCGGAAUUCGUGGUGUAGCGGUGGAAUGCUUAGAUAUCACGAAGAACUCCGAUUGCGAAGGCAGCCUGCUGGACUGUAACUGACGCUGAUGCUCGAAAGUGUGGGUAUCAAACAGGAUUAGAUACCCCUGUAGUC
rnacentral:rRNA from 1 species